rnacentral:misc_RNA from 1 species
AAGUCGUAACAAGGUUUCCGUAGGUGAACCUGCGGAAGGAUCAUUACAAGAGAUUGGGGGGGUUUGGUGGGGUGGGGGGUUAAUAAGGGCUUUGCUCAGAAGGGCACUGCUCUCUACCCUCCCACUCACCCUACCGCCCAUAUUAGCACGGAGGCCGCUUGUCUAUACAGGCAGGCGGUCCCAUGUUUACGCUUGCUUGUUUGACAAAGUUAUACCCAUCUAAUCUAUACAACUUUUAACAAUGGAUCUCUUGGCUCUU